rnacentral:lncRNA from 1 species
GCUCUUUGCCCUUCCUCCUCAAUCAGAGUCAGCCUCUGUAGGCCUCCUCUUAGCUCAUUUAAACCUCUCUCAGCUGAGGCCUACUGCACGACCUGAUGAAUCCCCAGGUGGGACAGUCUCUGGAUGACCUUUCUUUCAGUCUCGGCUUGACACUUUAUCUCCAUAUUCGUUCCUUAGAAAGAUUUUUGGGAGACAACCCUUCCCCAGUAAGAUGUGAUCGACAUUGCCCACAGUGGUAACAUCUCAUUAACACAGGCUGUGCUAACUUUGUGACUUACUUUGGGUGAAGAAGGGCAAGAGACAUAUGAGAUACCACUUUCUGUCUGCUACCUCCAGAGGUUCAGUGCUUGAACAUGCUUCUAACCCAGAUAUUGUGAUGAUCCAAGGCAAGGCAAGACUACUGGGAGAUGUUUUCCUGGCAACUCAGUUCACACUGAUGCACAAGAAGGGACAGAAUGCUCACAGGAAUGGCCACUCCUAGAUGCAAGCAAUGACAAGUAUUGACAAGGAUGCAGAAAUAAGAAGCUCAAGUGUUCUGAAUAAAAUAUAAAAUGCAUAUGUUUUGGAAAACAUUUUCCAGCUUCCUAAAAAAAAAAUCAGUCAACCUCUCAUAAAUCUACCCUAUGAUUAACCUGCUCUAAUCUUAGACUCUACUUAAAAGAAAUGAAUGAAAAUAUCUAUAUCAAGACUGGUAUCUGAGCAUCCACAACAAUAUUAUUCAUCAUAGCCCACAUUGGAAAACCCAGAACUGGUGAAUGAGCAAACAAAAUAUAAUAUUGUUCAACAGAAAAAAGAAUGACAUAAGCCAGUGGUGACACACAUGGUAAGUCUGAAACUUGGAAAGAGGAGGCUGGAAGGUUGGGAGUUCAAGACCCACAGCUACAUAGAGGGUGAGGCCAGUCUGAACAACUUGAGAUAAUAUUUCAAAAAUAUCACGUAGUAAUAAAUGCUACCACAUGGGUAGAGCUCAGUGUGAAUGUAAUGCCAAAUUCACCAAAUUCACCAAGACCACAUGUCAUUUCUUUAACAUGUAAGAUCCAGAAAAUGCAGCCGGGCGGUGGUGGUGCACACCUUUAAUCCCAGCACUUGGGAGGCAGUGGCAGGUGGAUUUCUGAGUUCAAGGCUAGCCUGGUCUACAAAGUGAGUUUCAGGACAGCCAGGGUUACACAGACAAACCCUGUCUCGAAAAACUAAAAAAAAAAAAAAAAAAAUUCCAGAAAAUGCUUAGUGGAAACAGAGAGAGUUGUUGCCCAUGGCUGGAGAUGAGACUUGAGGAGUGUGAAUGAUCAGAGAUCUUUGAUAGGAUAAAAAUGCUCUAAAAUUAGAUGUUUGUGGCAGUUGUACAAUUUCGUCAACUUGUGUAAGCAUGUGUAUGUAAUAAUAUAUGUCACACCCCAGGGAACCUGUACAAGCUCAUAGUGAAAUAAAGCAAACACAAAGUGAAGUGUGAUGCCCUCCAGAGAAAUCUCUUGUUAUUUCAACCUUUGGUGUUCUUUCUCUCCUGUCUGGGAUGAAGCUUGAUUGCCAAAGACACUGCAAGUGUAAAAACAGAAAGAAAAAAAGAAAGAAAGAGAGAGAGAGAGAG